rnacentral:rRNA from 1 species
GAUGAACGCUGGCGGUAUGCUUAACACAUGCAAGUCGAACGGACUCUUCGGAGUUAGUGGCGGACGGGUGAGUAACGCGUGAGAAUCUGGCUUUGGGUUCGGGACAACCACUGGAAACGGUGGCUAAUACCGGAUGUGCCGAGAGGUAAAAGAGAAAUUGCCUGAAGAUGAGCUCGCGUCUGAUUAGCUAGUUGGUGAGGUAAAGGCUCACCAAGGCAGCGAUCAGUAGCUGGUCUGAGAGGAUGACCAGCCACACUGGGACUGAGACACGGCCCAGACUCCUACGGGAGGCAGCAGUGGGGAAUUUUCCGCAAUGGGCGAAAGCCUGACGGAGCAAUACCGCGUGAGGGAAGAAGGCCCUUGGGUUGUAAACCUCUUUUCUUAGGGAAGAACAAAAUGACGGUACCUAAGGAAUCAGCAUGGGCUAACUCGGUG